UACGUAGGGUGCAAGCGUUAAUCGGAAUUACUGGGCGUAAAGCGUGCGCAGGCGGUUCCGCAAGUCAGAUGUGAAAUCCCCGGGCUUAACCUGGGAACUGCAUUUGAAACUAUGGAGCUAGAGUGCGUCAGAGGGGGGUAGAAUUCCACGUGUAGCAGUGAAAUGCGUAGAGAUGUGGAGGAAUACCGAUGGCGAAGGCAGCCCCCUGGGAUGACACUGACGCUCAUGCACGAAAGCGUGGGGAGCAAACAGG
rnacentral:rRNA from 1 species